UUUGAGAGGUUGAAGCUGCCAGCAUGAUCUGAUUUAAUUUGCUGAAUUCUCUUUUAAUUUAGAGAUUUUCAUAAAGCAAUAUUAUUGAAAUUAAUAAGGCAAAAAAUGGGUUUUCUUCUAUGGAUCUUGAUGAUGUUAUGCUUUUCAAGGGUUUUUUUUUUUAAUUUGAAAAUCAGGUCAUUCUAGCAGCUUCAAUCACUCAUU